rnacentral:rRNA from 1 species
UUUGAUCCUGGCUCAGGACGAACGCUGGCGGCGUGCUUAACACAUGCAAGUCGAACGGAAAGGCCCUGCUUUUGUGGGGUGCUCGAGUGGCGAACGGGUGAGUAACACGUGAGUAACCUGCCCUUGACUUUGGGAUAACUUCAGGAAACUGGGGCUAAUACCGGAUAGGAGCUCCUGCUGCAUGGUGGGGGUUGGAAAGUUUCGGCGGUUGGGGAUGGACUCGCGGCUUAUCAGCUUGUUGGUGGGGUAGUGGCUUACCAAGGCUUUGACGGGUAGCCGGCCUGAGAGGGUGACCGGCCACAUUGGGACUGAGAUACGGCCCAGACUCCUACGGGAGGCAGCAGUGGGGAAUAUUGCACAAUGGGCGGAAGCCUGAUGCAGCAACGCCGCGUGCGGGAUGACGGCCUUCGGGUUGUAAACCGCUUUCGCCUGUGACGAAGCGUGAGUGACGGUAAUGGGUAAAGAAGCACCGGCUAACUACGUGCCAGCAGCCGCGGUGAUACGUAGGGUGCGAGCGUUGUCCGGAUUUAUUGGGCGUAAAGGGCUCGUAGGUGGUUGAUCGCGUCGGAAGUGUAAUCUUGGGGCUUAACCCUGAGCGUGCUUUCGAUACGGGUUGACUUGAGGAAGGUAGGGGAGAAUGGAAUUCCUGGUGGAGCGGUGGAAUGCGCAGAUAUCAGGAGGAACACCAGUGGCGAAGGCGGUUCUCUGGGCCUUUCCUGACGCUGAGGAGCGAAAGCGUGGGGAGCGAACAGGCUUAGAUACCCUGGUAGUCCACGCUGUAAACGGUGGGUACUAGGUGUGGGGUCCAUUCCACGGGUUCCGCGCCGUAGCUAACGCUUUAAGUACCCCGCCUGGGGAGUACGGCCGCAAGGCUAAAACUCAAAGGAAUUGACGGGGCCCCGCACAAGCGGCGGAGCAUGCGGAUUAAUUCGAUGCAACGCGUAGAACCUUACCUGGGUUUGACAUGGAUCGGGAGUGCUCAGAGAUGGGUGUGCCUCUUUUGGGGUCGGUUCACAGGUGGUGCAUGGCUGUCGUCAGCUCGUGUCGUGAGAUGUUGGGUUAAGUCCCGCAACGAGCGCAACC